UUUACUCGGCGACGGUGAUGUGGUACCAGUGUUUGUAGCGACAGGUGUUGACCGGCCCGACGACGGCGAGUUUUCUGAAGAUGGAAGAAUGCAGUGUUAUUUUUACACCUUACGAUCUGUUGUUGCUGCUGAUGAGCAGCAGCCGUAGCCGCAGCAUGGGCAGCAGCCUGUGCGCUCAGCACAUGAGCUGCCAAUUCUCCGUCCACCAUCUCCAAGCCUCCAAGCGCACCGCUAGAAUACACCAUCAUUUUAGCACUAAAUCACAGCAGCCACAAAUUACACAAUAUCACGCUUCAAUAAGCGCGGCGACAGCGAAUAAUCCGCGUCAAGACGCUUUCUAUUCAAAUAAAAACAAUUGAAAAACAAGAAAAAAGCUAGAAUAGAGCGUUCGAAAACCAUAAACAAUUUAGAAAAAAGAAUGUUGUCCCUAUUUGUUGUAAGAUUUCUAUCAUAAAACAUAUAUCUUACAUCCAAUAAAACACAUUCAUAUUAAUAAA